rnacentral:rRNA from 1 species
AGCAGCCGCGGUAAUUCCAGCUCCAAUAGCGUAUAUUAAAGUUGUUGCAGUUAAAAAGCUCGUAGUUGAAUUUCGGGGUUAGUAGGUUGGUCAUGCCUCUGGUAUGUACUGGUCUCACUGAUUCCUCCUUCCUGAUGAACCGUAAUGCCAUUAAUUUGGUGUUGCGGGGAAUUUGGACUGUUACUUUGAAAAAAUUAGAGUGUUUAAAGCAAGCUAACGCUUGAAUACAUUAGCAUGGAAUAAUGAAAUAGGACGUUCGAUCCUAUUUUGUUGGUUUCUAGGAUUGACGUAAUGAUUAAUAGGGAUAGUUGGGGGCAUUAGUAUUCAAUUGUCAGAGGUGAAAUUCUUGGAUUUAUUGAAGACUAACUACUGCGAAAGCAUUUGCCAAGGAUGUUUUCAUUAAUCAAGAACGAAAGUUAGGGGAUCGAAGACGAUCAGAUACCGUCGUAGUCUUAACCAUAAACUAUGCCGACUAGGGAUCGGAUGAUGUUAAUUUUUUCAAUGACUCAUUCGGCGCCUU